UCCUACGGGGCGCAGCAGUGAGGAAUAUUGGCCAAUGGUCGGGAGACUGAACCAGCCAAGCCGCGUGAGGGAUGAAGGUACAGAGUAUCGUAAACCUCCUUUGUCAGGGAACAAAGGCGGGGACGUGUCCCCGGAUGAGUGUACCUGAAGAAAAAGCAUCGGCUAACUCCGUGCCAGCAGCCGCGGUAAUACGGAGGAUGCGAGCGUUAUCCGGAUUUAUUGGGUUUAAAGGGUGCGCAGGCGGUCUGUUAAGUCAGCGGUCAAAGCCCGGGGCUCAACCCCGGCCCGCCGUUGAAACUGGCAGU
rnacentral:rRNA from 1 species